GUUGACCUCGGAUCAGGUAGGAAUACCCGCUGAACUUAAGCAUAUCAAUAAGCGGAGGAAAAGAAACCAACAGGGAUUGCCCUAGUAACGGCGAGUGAAGCGGCAACAGCUCAAAUUUGAAAUCUGGUCCCCCCUGGGGUCCCGAGUUGUAAUUUGCAGAGGAUGUCUUCUGGCGCGGUGCCUUCCGAGUUCCCUGGAACGGGACGCCACAGAGGGUGAGAGCCCCGUAAUGGUCGGAUACCAAGCCUGUGUGAAGCUCCUUCGACGAGUCGAGUAGUUUGGGAAUGCUGCUCUAAAUGGGAGGUAAAUCUCUUCUAAAGCUAAAUACUGGCCAGAGACCGAUAGCGCACAAGUAGAGUGAUCGAAAGAUGAAAAGCACCUUGAAAAGGGGGUUAAACAGUACGUGAAAUUGUUGAAAGGGAAGCGCUCAUGACCAGACUUGCGCCGGGCGGCUCAGCAGGGGUUCUGCCCCUGUGUACUCCGUCCCGGUUCAGGCCAGCAUCGGUUCUCGCUGGGGGAUAAGAGCGGUGGGAACGUGGCCCCCCUUCGGGGGGGUGUUAUAGCCCGCCGUUAUGAUACCCUGGCGGGGACCGAGGUUCGCGCAUUCGCAAGGAUGCUGGCGUAAUGGUUAUCAGUGACCCGUCUUGAAACACGGACCAAGGAGUCGUCCUUUAGAGCGAGCGUCUGGGUGUUAAAACCCGCACGCGUAAUGAAAGUGAAAUUAGGUGAGAGCCCUCACGGGCGCAUCAUCGACCGAUCCUGAUGUUCUCGGAUGGAUUUGAGUAAGAGUUUUAACGGACGGACCCGAAAGACAGUGAACUAUGCUUGUAUAGGGUGAAGCCAGAGGAAACUCUGGUGGAGGCUCGCAGCGGUUCUGACGUGCAAAUCGAUCGUCAAAUAUGAGCAUGGGGGCGAAAGACUAAUCGAAC
rnacentral:rRNA from 1 species